CAAUUAUGCAGUUGUCCAACACCAGCUUUGCAGAUGAACAGAAAAGUGAAUUAAGGUGAUACAGACAAUGUUCAACAGAAAUAAUGUGUUUAGACCAGAAGAAAAUUAUCAUCAAAUACAACAAUCAGUUAACAGAAGUGAUGACUUGCUACAGUAGGGCAAAAUCUGAAGAGGAAACUCACUAUAGAGAUGUCCAUACAUUCUGUCAAAUACUACGUGAUGAUCCAUUCACCAUUCAGAAGUAAAAGGUUCAACUCAAUAACAGUACUUAGAUCUCUCCCUUUUCAUCUCUUUCUGAGAGCUGAGGAUCUUUGACCUGAAGUCAGGACUGACAGUGCAAGGCAGGAUGCCUGUGAACCACCAGUCCUAAGAAACCCUUCUCAAGCCUAGAAGACGAAAGAAGCAAAAGGGGAAAAAAGUCCAAAAAUGGGAAGAAAAUAUGUAAAAUUACUGCUUAUUUAUUUUGAACAAAAGAUGAAUAUUUAAUGUGUAAA